UACGAAGGGUGCAAGCGUUAUCCGGAUUCAUUGGGUUUAAAGGGUGCGUAGGCGGCCAACUAAGUCAGACGUGAAAUCCCUCGGCUUAACCGGGGAACUGCAUCUGAUACUGGAUGGCUUGAGUUCGGGAGAGGGAUGCGGAAUUCCAGGUGUAGCGGUGAAAUGCGUAGAUAUCUGGAGGAACACCGGUGGCGAAGGCGGCAUCCUGGACCGACACUGACGCUGAGGAGCGAAAGCCAGGGGAGCAAAGCGGGG
rnacentral:rRNA from 1 species